AAAUAAAGGAGGGUGAGCUUAAGGAGCUCAACAUGCAUGUAAUUACAAGAAAAUCAGUGUGGAAUAGUAGGCAUAGCAUGCAAGAUAACAAUUGUAAUAGCCCAUUUUUGCCCGGGCCCAACAACAAUAAAUAAAUAAAUUAACAGUCCCAGUCCAAAAUUACAACAGGCCUAAUAUGGCCCAAAUUAGAAAAAAAAAACCUAACCCAACAUAAUAAGAAAAAAAAAGAAAAAAACCCUAGGUGCACCGCACCUAGGUCUUCGGCGCCGCACCCUAGCCCCAGCUUUGCUGCCGCCACCGCUCGCCUAUCACCGGCCAUCCACGCGUCUGAC
rnacentral:lncRNA from 1 species